rnacentral:rRNA from 1 species
GACGACCGCUGGCGGCGUGCUUAACACAUGCAAGUCGAACGAAGUGGCGAACGGGUGAGUAACGCGUAAUCAACCUGCCCUUCCGAGGGGGACAACAGUUGGAAACGACUGCUAAUACCGCAUACUUAGGGCGGGGAUUGCGUCUGCUUAGGUAGUUGGCGGGGUAACGGCCCACCAAGGCGAUGAUCAGUAGCCGGUCUGAGAGGAGGAACGGCCACAUUGGGACUGAGACACGGCCCAGACUCCUACGGGAGGCAGCAGUGGGGAAUCUUCCGAAAUGGACGAAAGUCUGACGGAGCAACGCCGCGUGAGUGAUGACGGCCUUCGGGUUGUAAAGCUCUGUUAAGCGGGACGCGGUACCGGAAUAGAAAGCCACGGCUAACUACGUGCCAGCAGCCGCGGUAAUUC